rnacentral:tRNA from 1 species
CAAAAAAUAGUUUAUCUAAAAUAGUAGUUUUGGGUAUUACAGAAAAAAAUUUUUUUUUUUGA